rnacentral:ncRNA from 1 species
UACUUGGUUGAUCCUGCCAAGGAAGCACACUUAGGUCAUAGAUUAAGCCAUGCAAGUGUUAGUUCAGGUAACGAAACUGCGAAUAGCUCAUUAAUACGCUCAGAAUCUAUUUGGCGGCGACCAACAGGUCUUAAAUGGAUAGCAGCAGCAACUCUGGUGCUAAUACAUGCGAUUGUUUCUCCAGAUGUGAAUUAUGGAGGAAAAGUUGACCUCAUCAGAGGCACGCCAUUCGACUGAGUGACCUAUCAGCUUGUACUUAGGGUCUUUACCUAGGUAGGCUAUCACGGGUAACGGGCGGUUACCGUCGGACUGCCGGAGAAGGCGCCUGAGAGAUAGCGACUAUAUCCACGGGUAGCAGCAGGCGCGAAACUUUCCCACUCGAGACUUUCGGAGGAGGUAAUGACCAGUUCCAUUGGUGCCUUUUGGUACUGUGGAUAGGGGUACGGUUUUCCACCGUACCGAAACCUAGCAGAGGGCCAGUCUGGUGCCAGCAGCUGCGGUAAUUCCAGCUCUGCGAGUUUGCUCCCAUAUUGUUGCAGUUAAAACGCCCGUAGUCUGAAUUGGCCAGCAAUGGUCGUACGUAUUUUUACGUUCACUGUGAACAAAUCAGGAC